GCCUUGCUAGUGGGUUAUACUUAUAGCCGAUCUAGAAUCUAAUAUUGUUUGUGCUUAACAGCCACAUAAAUACUAUAGACUGUCUUGACAGAGCAAUGCAUAUGUAAAUAAGUACUCAUAAUUUUGCAUAAAAGUCUCAGGGUCAUUGUCCCCUUGCAAUCUACUUAUGAAGCCCAGAUUAUAAACAUCUGCUUGUAAGGAAUAACAUUCUUUGGCCACUGUCUUAAUGCCCAUUUUAUUUACAUGUCUCCAUGUCCACAUACAGGUCACCUAGUAGAACAAGGCACGCCCAGGAGCAGAACCACAUGGCAGAGACUAAAGAGGAGGAAGUGAGCAAUGGCUGCUGGCUCCAGAAGCGGAAGCCCUGGAUAGCUGCCUUCCCACUAAAACGGGCGCCACCCUACCUGUCUCCUCACCAUCCUCCCAUUCCCUCAUCCCAUGGCCUGUCCUCCCUCCCACCCCACCACAUGCCGUGCAGCACUCUCCACAGCCUGGCUGGUUGGCUCCUGGGGAGCUGUGUUGAAGCGGGAGUUGUGCCUGCUGUAUCUUUUUGUGUGGAAAGAUUGGGUCCAUCCAGAUCUCAAGUCCAUCCCCACACCUCUAAGUGAAGCUGCGAUGAAGUGCCGGUCAGUUUGGACUUCAGAUACCUAAAAUGUUCCAGCAUUGGUUCCCAAGCCCUAACUUCCCUCCCUAUACUUUUGGAUGAAAAACAGAGGGAAUAUAUAGCUCCUCUCUUUCUCCCUCUGCCACACGGGUGGCCAGUGUUAAUACUCUCUCUAGAUUCCUCUGAUCCUUGCAGAGCCGGGGCCAAAGCAGUCCUACUUCCUCCAUGCGACUGGGCUGGUCACCUUCAGGUGACCAAGGGCCUCGUGUAUGUCACCAGGAUCAAUGGGAUGCAGUGCUGGGUUUUCAAAAAAGCCCAGGGAAGGCUCCAGGAAUAAGCAAGCCUGGGACAUACAGAGGCAGAUGCAGGAGCCCUGCUCAGCGAGGAGAUCUGGCAGACUAAAGCAGAGUGCUGCGAUCAUCAUUGGUCCAGAAGGCAAGUCUCUGUUGAGAAAGAAGCUGGAUGACAUUGAGU
ensembl:lncRNA